rnacentral:rRNA from 1 species
CCUACGGGUGGCAGCAGUGGGGAAUCUUCCGCAAUGGACGAAAGUCUGACGGAGCAACGCCGCGUGAGUGAUGAAGGUCUUCGGAUUGUAAAACUCUGUUGUCAGGGACGAAUGCACCGAUCUAUAAUACAUUUUGGUGUUGACGGUACCUGACGAGGAAGCUACGGCUAACUACGUGCCAGCAGCCGCGGUAAUACGUAGGUGGCAAGCGUUGUCCGGAUUUACUGGGUGUAAAGGGCGCGUAGGCGGGAUAGCAAGUCAGGAGUGAAAUCUAUGGGCUUAACCCAUAAACUGCUUUUGAAACUGUUAUUCUUGAGUAUCGGAGAGGCAGGCGGAAUUCCUAGUGUAGCGGCGAAAUGCGUAGAUAUUAGGAGGAACACCAGUGGCGAAGGCGGCCUGCUGGACGACAACUGACGCUGAGGCGCGAAAGCGUGGGGAGCAAACAGGAUUAGAUACCCCGGUAGUC